rnacentral:rRNA from 1 species
AGAACGAACGCUGGCGGCAUGCCUAAUACAUGCAAGUCGAACGAAGGCUUCGGCCUUAGUGGCGCACGGGUGCGUAACGCGUGGGAAUCUGCCCCUUGGUUCGGAAUAACAGUUGGAAACGACUGCUAAUACCGGAUGAUGACGAAAGUCCAAAGAUUUAUCGCCAAGGGAUGAGCCCGCGUAGGAUUAGCUAGUUGGUGAGGUAAAGGCUCACCAAGGCGACGAUCCUUAGCUGGUCUGAGAGGAUGAUCAGCCACACUGGGACUGAGACACGGCCCAGACUCCUACGGGAGGCAGCAGUAGGGAAUAUUGGACAAUGGGCGAAAGCCUGAUCCAGCAAUGCCGCGUGAGUGAUGAAGGCCUUAGGUUGUAAAGCUCUUUACCCGAGAUGAUAAUGACAGUAUCGGGAGAAUAAGCCCCGGCUAACUCCGUGCCAGCAGCCGC